rnacentral:rRNA from 1 species
CCUACGGGAGGCUGCAGUGAGGAAUAUUGGUCAAUGGACGAGAGUCUGAACCAGCCAAGUAGCGUGAAGGAUGACUGCCCUAUGGGUUGUAAACUUCUUUUAUAUGGGAAUAAAAUGUUCCACGUGUGGGAUUUUGUAUGUACCAUAUGAAUAAGGAUCGGCUAACUCCGUGCCAGCAGCCGCGGUAAUACGGAGGAUCCGAGCGUUAUCCGGAUUUAUUGGGUUUAAAGGGAGCGUAGGUGGAUUGUUAAGUCAGUUGUGAAAGUUUGCGGCUCAACCGUAAAAUUGCAGUUGAAACUGGCAGUCUUGAGUUGGCGAGAAGUACGCGGAAUGCGCGGUGUAGCGGUGAAAUGCAUAGAUAUCGCGCAGAACUCCGAUUGCGAAGGCAGCGUACCGGCGCCAGACUGACGCUGAGGCACGAAAGCGUGGGGAUCGAACAGGAUUAGAUACCCGAGUAGUC